rnacentral:rRNA from 1 species
AACGAACGCUGGCGGCAUGCCUAAUACAUGCAAGUCGAACGAUCUCUUCGGAGGUAGUGGCGCACGGGUGCGUAACGCGUGGGAAUCUGCCCUUGGGUUCGGAAUAACGUCGGGAAACUGACGCUAAUACCGGAUGAUGACGUAAGUCCAAAGAUUUAUCGCCCAGGGAUGAGCCCGCGUAGGAUUAGCUAGUUGGUGAG